rnacentral:rRNA from 1 species
AGUGGCGCAAGGGUGAGUAAUGCAUAGAUUACCUGCCUCUAGGAUAAGGACAACUUUGUGAAAACGAAGCUAAUACUUAAUAAUACAAAAGAAAAUUAUUUUCUUUUGUCAAUGGGAGGGUAGCAAUACCUUUUGCCUAGAGAGGGGUUUAUGUCCUAUCAGCUUGUUGGUGGGGUAAUGGCCUACCAAGGCGAAGACGGGUAGCCGGUCUUAGAGGAUGGUCGGCCACACUGGGACUGAGACACUGCCCAGACUUCUACGGAAGGCUGCAGUCGAGAAUCCUUCGCAAUGCCCGAAAGGGUGACGAAGCGACGCCGCGUGAGUGAGGAAGGCCUUCGGGUUGUAAAGCUCUGUCAGGAGUUAAGAAAUGUAAGUGUGCUAAUACCACAUUUAUUUGACGAAGGCUCCAAAGGAAGCCACGGCUAACUCUGUGCCAGCAGCCGCGGUAAUACAGAGGUGGCAAGCGUUGUUCGGAAUUAUUGGGCGUAAAGAGCACGUAGGUGGGUUUGUAAGUCAGAUGUGAAAGCCUUCUGUUCAACGGAAGAAUUGCAUCUGAAACUGCGAGUCUUGAGUGUAGGAGGGGAGAAUGGAACUUCUGGUGGAGCGGUGAAAUGCGUAGAUAUCAGAAGGAACGCCGGCGGCGAAAGCGAUUCUCUGGCCUAUUACUGACACUCAGUGUGCGAAAGCUAGGGGAGCAAACGGGAUUAGAUACCCCGGUAGUCCUAGCCGUAAACGAUGGGCACUAAGUAGAGGGAAUUACCGAUGUUCUCUCUGCCGUAGCUAACGCAUUAAGUGCCCCGCCUGGGGAGUACGGCCGCAAG